AACCAUCCAAUGCCGGCGAGCUUCGGAUCACAGGGCAGACAGCAGGAACCAAUAGAGUGGUCGCUUUCCGUUGUUAUGCAGGAGUUUGAUCGGUCCACAAAUAUCCCCAUGCGGCCAAUCUCUUUGGAUGUGGACAUCCAGCUACACGCCACUCUCUGAAGCACCCUUCUUUCUGGAUCAUUCAGAAGCUACUACAAGACAUUGCUUACUUCCAGACAGAACUGCUUUGUAUGCAGUUCGAAAAAGAUUAGGACUCAUUAAGAAUAUUCUGUGACCCCAUUCAGCAGUCAACGGAAGAACCGUUGCUGUGAUCCGUCCUCUGUGCCCUGUCUGAAAUGAGAUGUGUAUUCCCCAGAAAAGUCCUUGUAACAGAUUCUGGCCGAAAACUUAAGCAUGCCUUCCCAAAUGCUCUGCCACUUCUCCCGUGUUCUCUGAAGCUUAUCGCCACCCCCC